UUAUUGCUAGUUACCAUCAUUCAUUGGGGACUCUAGCGAGACUGCCAGUGAUAAACUGGAGGAAGGUGGGGGAUGACGUCAAAUCAUCAUGCCCCUUAUGACCUGGGCUACAAACGUGAUACAAUGGCUGAAACAAAGGGCAGCGAAGCAGUGAUGUGGAGCGAAACCCAAAAAAGCAGUCUCAGUUCGGGUUGAAGUCUGCAACUCGACUUCAUGAAGUCGGAAUCGCUAGUAAUCGCGGAUCAGAACGCCGCGGUGAAUACGUUCUCGGGGUUU
rnacentral:rRNA from 1 species